AACGAUGAAAGCUUCUAGCUUGCUAGAAGUGGAUUAGUGGCGCACGGGUGAGUAAAGCAUAGGUUAUGUGCCCCAUAGUCUGGGAUAGCCACUGGAAACGGUGAUUAAUACCGGAUACUCCUUACGAGGGAAAGUUUUUCGCUAUGGGAUCAGCCUAUGUCCUAUCAGCUUGUUGGUGAGGUAAUGGCUCACCAAGGCUAUGACGGGUAUCCGGCCUGAGAGGGUGAACGGACACACUGGAACUGAGACACGGUCCAGACUCCUACGGGAGGCAGCAGUAGGGAAUAUUGCUCAAUGGGCGAAAGCCUGAAGCAGCAACGCCGCGUGGAGGAUGAAGGUUUUAGGAUUGUAAACUCCUUUUGUUAGAGAAGAUUAUGACGGUAUCUCACGAAUAAGC
rnacentral:rRNA from 1 species